UCAAGCUAAUAAGAGCAUAAGGUGAAUGCCUUGGCAUCAAGAACCGAUGAAGGACGUAAAAAGCUGCGAUAAGCUUCGGGGAGGCGCACAUAGCCAACGAUCCGGAGAUUUCCGAAUGGGGAAACCUAGCUGAGAAAAGCUCAGUUGGCGUACAGUGAAUCAAUAGCUGUGCGUAGGGAACGCUCUGAACUGAAACAUCUAAGUAGGAGCAGGAAGAGAAAGAAACAUCGAUUUCCUAAGUAGUGGCGAACGAACGGGAAACAGGCCAAACCGAGAUACAUGUAUUUCGGGGUUGUGGACUACAUCAUGUGAUGGAGGUAAGGUAGUAGAAUUGUUUUGGGAAAGCAAGCCAAAGAAAGUGAAAGCCUUGUAUACGAAACCUAAAGACCCACAGUAGUAUCCAGAGUACAUCGGGACACGUGAAACCCUGAUGGAAGCCGGAGGGACCACCCUCCAAGCCUAAAUAUUCCUUGAUGACCGAUAGCGAAGAAGUACUGUGAAGGAAAGGUGAAAAGAACCCCGGGAGGGGAGUGAAAGAGAACCUGAAACCUUAUGUUUACAAACAGUCGAAGUUUUUCGGAACGACGGCGUACUUUUUGUAGAACGGUCCGGCGAGUUGCAGUGACAUGCGAGGUUAAGGAGUACAGCUCCGGAGCCGAAGGGAAACCAAGUCUUAACUGGGCGUCUAGUAUGUUAAUGCAGACCCGAAACCGGGUGACCUAUCCAUGGGCAGGUUGAAGUUACCGUAAAAGGUAAUGGAGGACCGAACUCACAUCUGUUGAAAAAGGUGGAGAUGACCUGUGGAUAGCGGAGAAAUUCCAAUCGAACUCGGAGAUAGCUGGUUCUCCUCGAAAUAGCUUUAGGGCUAGCCUUGAGGUAAAGUCUAAUGGAGGUAAAGCACUGAUUGGACGCGGGUCCCCAAAAGGAUACCAACUUCUAUCAAACUCAGAAUGCCAUAUAGAUAUACUCAGGAGUCAGACUAUGUGAGAUAAGUUUCAUAGUCAAAAGGGAAAGAGCCCAGACCGACAGCUAAGGUCCCAAAGUGUGUGUUAAGUGGAAAAGGAUGUUAGGUUUCUAAGACAACUAGGAUGUUGGCUCAGAAGCAGCCACUCAUUUAAAGAGUGCGUAACAGCUCACUAGUCGAGAGGUCUAGCGCCGAAAAUGUCCGGGGCUAAAACACACCACCGAAGCUACGGAAUUACCUAUGGUAAUUGGUAGAGGAGCAUUCUGUAAGGACGAAGCACAAUUGAAAGAGAGUGUGGACGAAACAGAAGAGAGAAUGCCGGAAUGAGUAGCGAGAUAUAUGUGAGAAUCAUAUAGGUCGAAUGUCUAAGGUUUCCUGGGUAAAGCUGAUCUGCUCAGGGUAAGUCGGGACCUAAGGUGAGGGCGAGAGCCGUAAUCGAUGGACAACAGGUAGAAAUUCCUGUACUACGUAUAAUCAGAACUGUGGGGACGCAGGAGGAUAGGAAAACCGGAGAAUGGAAAUAUCCGGCUAAGUACAAAGGUGUGAGUGAUAGGCAAAUCCGUCACUAUUAGCUGAAGUACGAAUGGGAGCGAAGAAAAGUAGCGAAGUUUCUGAAUCCACACUGUCAAGAAAAGCCGCUAUUGCGUUAUACGUACCCGUACCGCAAACCGACACAGGUAGACGAGGAGAAAAUCCACAGACCGACGGGAGAAGUGUUGUUAAGGAACUCGGCAAAAUGACCCCGUAACUUAGGGAUAAGGGGAGCCAACGCAAGUUGGUCACAGAAAAGAGGCUCAAGCGACUGUUUAGCAAAAACAUAGGUCUAUGCGAAACCGUAAGGUGAUGUAUAUGGGCUGACACCUGCCCGGUGCUGGAAGGUUAAAAGGAGAGGUCAGCGCAAGCGAAGCUUUGAAUUCAAGCCCCAGUAAACGGCGGCCGUAACUAUAACGGUCCUAAGGUAGCGAAAUUCCUUGUCAGGUAAGUUCUGACCCGCACGAAAGGCGUAAUGAUUUGUGCACUGUCUCGACAACACGCCCGGUGAAAUUGAAGAACCAGUGAAGAUACUGGUUACCCGCAACAGGACGGAAAGACCCCAUGGAGCUUUACUGCAGCCUGAUACUGGGAUUCGAUGAUGUAUGUACAGGAUAGGUGGGAGGCUAAGAAGCGAGAACGCCAGUUUUCGUGGAGCCGCCGGUGGGAUACCACCCUUAUGUCAUUGAA
rnacentral:rRNA from 1 species